rnacentral:miRNA from 2 species
AGCUGGUUGAACACGGGUCAAAU